UAGAAGUGUCGCGAGCUUGUCCGAGUCGAAUAACCGUUGAAUUCUUUAGAACAAAAGUUAUCUUUAGAAUAGGCUGUACAAAGUGUGUGCGUUCAAGAAGAAGCGACAGCCUACGGCUAUAUCUAUUUUGCUAGCGACGCUUCCUGCUUUUCGACGCGAAGAGUGCGGCUUCUUGCAGCCAUCAGAAGCCAGCGGCCCGCCAACACGCCGCUAUCCCAUUGCAGUGGUCAUCAAUAGCCACAACGUGGCCAGACUCAGCCUACGGCCCCCCGCGAAAGUCUUCAUCCACGUGGAAGCGCGACUAAACCGGCAUCUAGUCCCACCCUACCGCGCAACGUACCAGGAGCGCAUACACCACAGCAGCACAUCGUCAAAUUACUGCAGCUAAUCGGUGAGUCGCCUAUUCCAAUCGAUCUUUUUUUGUGGAGUGGGGCGUCCGGUGAGGACGCCUCGGAGGAAAGUUUUUUGCCGACCAUAGGUCGAGGAAUCAAGACAGAUGGACAAUC